UCCUAAUUGCUUCUCCCUAGAUGGGUGGGUCAUCUGCACUUCCAUAUCCUGUUCUGAAGCAACGGGAAGCUGUAACAGGUCACCGCCUUUUGGAACGCUAUGGUACGACCGAGAUUGUUUUUCUGUGUUUUACAAAUAGGAGCAAAAACAUGGUCGCAAACCCGAUCCUAUUGAGAUGUUUUAUAUAGUGCACAAAUGGCGAGAUGAAAACAAAAGUUGGAUAGAUGAUGCAACGGAGGAAUUGGCGGUUAAGAUCUCACGGGAAUUAACGAGUUUGGUUGAAACCCAUGGCGAGGAAACAUCGGAACUAAUGCAACAAGCUUAUGUAGCAGCAUCGUCGUUCGCGAUCUCCUUCCCAACAACACUCACCUUCCCAGCACACUCCGACAUCGUACCCAUAUCCUCCAUAUCACCAUCUUCCACCGUAUCCGUAUACAUCAUCUUCGCAGUUCUACUACCCCCAUCCAUACCAGCCACCUUUGUACCGCCCAGUGCCAACCCCACCUGGAGAGUUUACAGCAAUGCUCAAUGAUUCAGAUUUUAUGCAGCAGAUGAUGCCACUAAAUGAUAGGAAUGGCGGGGAUAAAAGUUAGAUAUUUUUAUAUUCAUGUUGAAGGUCAACUUUGUUGGUUAUUUUAAGUUAUUGUUAAG